UUUUAAGGCAGAUUUGAAUAACACAGUUCACAAGUUCACAUGAUGAGGAUUUUUCUGAAAUAAUGUCAGAAUCCACAUGGAAUCCAGAUGAGAGAUGUCUGUUACCUCGGAUGACUGGACCAUGUAAGGGACUCACGACAAGAUAUUACUUUAAUACAAAGACAAAACGUUGUGCAAUUUUUUUGUAUGGCGGCUGCAAAGGAAAUGAGAACAAUUUUACGACAAUUUCAGACUGUGUGAAAGCCUGCAGGAAAUAAUAAGUAAUCUCAUAGGAAGCCGAUUCUGAAGCACAAUGGGGAAGAUUUAUCAAAGUGGAG